rnacentral:rRNA from 1 species
AUUGAACGCUGGCGGCAGGCUUAACACAUGCAAGUCGAACGGUAACAGGAAGCAGCUUGCUGCUUCGCUGACGAGUGGCGGACGGGUGAGUAAUGUCUGGGAAGCUGCCUGAUGGAGGGGGAUAACUACUGGAAACGGUAGCUAAUACCGCAUAAUGUCGCAAGACCAAAGAGGGGGACCUUCGGGCCUCUUGCCAUCGGAUGUGCCCAGAUGGGAUUAGCUUGUUGGUGGGGUAACGGCUCACCAAGGCGACGAUCCCUAGCUGGUCUGAGAGGAUGACCAGCCACACUGGAACUGAGACACGGUCCAGACUCCCACGGGAGGCAGCAGUGGGGAAUAUUGCACAAUGGGCGCAAGCCUGAUGCAGCCAUGCCGCGUGUAUGAAGAAGGCCUUCGGGUUGUAAAGUACUUUCAGCGGGGAGGAAGGGAGUAAAGUUAAUACCUUUGCUCAUUGACGUUACCCGCAGAAGAAGCACCGGCUAACUCCGUG